UACGUAGGAGGCGAGCGUUGUCCGGAGUUACUGGGCGUAAAGGGCGCGUAGGCGGUUAUAUAAGUGAGAUGUGAAAUCCCUGGGCUUAACCUAGGAACUGCAUCUCAUACUGUAUGACUGGAGUAUUGUAGAGGGUAGUGGAAUUUCCGGUGUAGCGGUGAAAUGCGUAGAGAUCGGAAGGAACACCAGUGGCGAAGGCGGCUACCUGGACAAAUACUGACGCUGAGGCGCGAGAGCGUGGGGGAGCAAACAGG
rnacentral:rRNA from 1 species